AAUUUCCUUUCUCAAAACAGAAUUAUUACCAACAAUGGAUCUUUGCCUGACUUAUUUAACUGGUUUUUCAGUGGCUUCACUAUGGAAUUUCCAUCAAUGUCUUCCAGAAAAGGAAAUGUUUUAGAGAAACUUGGAAGACGGACUGAUUUCUCACCAACUCAGAGGCCUAAUCAAGAGGCUUACAGAAAUGCAGUAUUACUGGAAUCCAGAGACUAGGACUCCUUCCACUCCUGCAGGGUUUCCAGCAGUACUGUGUACUGUUUAACCACAGAUGGCUUCCUCCUCCAAUCUGCAGACAAAGUUGGGCAAAACAGAGAAAACAGUAUCAGUGGCUUUGGAGGCAGAAGAAGGUAUUGGCCAGUGAAAUUAUUUUGGAGUGUGCAAGAUUUAUUUUUCUUUCAGAAAUGAGCUUAGUUUUGUUUGUCUUCAUCAGUGAAACUUGGGACAAGUAUUAAAUAAAAAAUUCGAGUACCACACCCAUAUUCCCAAUUUGCCAAGGCCUAAACAUGGGGUGGCAGAUUUUUACACAUAUCUAAAUAGAGGAAGAAAAAAUUAAUCUUCUAGGCCACUGUCAUGAACACAAGAGGGUUUUACUAAAGAUAAAUGAAUUCUUCUUUCUGCAAGUGGGUGGUUGCUUGUACCUGAUCCAAAUCAAGAUUUCUCUUUUUGUUAGAUUAGAAAAUGUUCUUUGAAAGAUUUGGUUUGUUUUGUUUUUUUAGGCUGCUGAAAACAUACAUAGUCUUUUCUAAAGUUCAGUGCUGCAUGGAACAAACGUGUUCUUCAACUGCAAUUUUCUGUCAUUAAUUUACUUUUAGUUUUUAUAUAAUCACUUGUAUCUUUC
rnacentral:lncRNA from 1 species